rnacentral:lncRNA from 1 species
UGCAAUUUCUGGUCUUUGCAAGAUAUAGAGAUCACAUGUGUAUGAAUCCAAAACUGAUGAGAACAUCACCUACUCGAAUACAACCACAUUAGUAACUUUUGAUUCACAAGUGAAACAAUUCUUUACCAUGAUUGUAUUUAAUACAUUUGAUGAAUUGAUAUUGCACCAUGAUGUGUGUUCGUUGUCAAUUUCAGAAAUACAUACGUGGAUCAAAAAUAGUGUUAAACACAUAUGGAAGGCAUGGAGGACCAAAGAAGUAGAUUGGGGGCCAAGUCCAAGUAUUCCCAACGUUCUUCAC